UUUAUAUAAACAAUUUCUGUGUAUUUGCUCAGUGCCUGGACGCACUUCCACCCUGCUGCUGAGAAUUUAGAUCUGAUGAGUAACCUGUGGCAGAGGAGCAACUUUGAUUGCAGAAAACCCCUCUGGAAGGUGAUGCAGGCAGGUGCUUUAUGGGCAGGGGAUCUCAGGGAAGGUGAGGCAUCUCCAGCACGCUCCAUCUGCAGGAGGAUGUGGUACCCAGAGCCUGGCAAUGCUUCAAAGGAAAUCCAUUCUGGGGUGUUUGAGUAGCUGUGUCAGAGACCAAAGGGGCAGCACCAAGGAAUUUAACUGAGAUUCCUCAUGCUGUAGAAAAGGCUGGUAUGAGGUAAGGCUUUAAGGAAGCAGAUUAACUCAAAGAAAUGUGCUCAGGUUUACUCAGCUCUUCCCAUCCGUCAGAACAUGCCCAAGUCCUCGGUGAGGUUUCGGCUCGGAACCGAGAUCUGGGACUGAGUCAUGAGCAAAUGCAACUGCCUGUACCCAUGAGGGAAUGUUACUGAUGGCUUCCUCCUUUGGAAAGUGACACCGUGAUGGGUCCCAGCAUCGUGCAGAGCUUUACUGGAGCUUCCCCGAGGUGCUUUGACCUCUCUUCCCAUCAGUCUGAACAGGCAAAACUAAUCAAGGUUGUCCAACAAAUUUUGGAACUGAGCACCAUUAAUUGUCAUUCUCAGAAUAAAUCAACAACAUAAUUUAUCAAUAUGGCAAUAACAGUAAUGUUUGUAUUUCCCAGUCUUGAAAUACUUGGAUUGGAAAUGACAGCAUUAUAAUUGAAAAUAAUGGUAAUUAUCUGUCUGCAAACGUGUUUUGUUGCUACGCUCAAUAUCUUCUUUGAAACCAGAAGUCACCAUAAGCAACAAUAAACUAAAAAUUCAUUUUCCUA